rnacentral:rRNA from 1 species
CCUACGGGAGGCAGCAGUGAGGAAUAUUGGUCAAUGGGCUUACGCCUGAACCAGCCAAGUCGCGUGAGGGAAGACUGCCCUAUGGGUUGUAAACCUCUUUUGUCAGGGAGCAAUUGGCGCUACGUGUAGCGUUAUCGAGAGUACCUGAAGAAAAAGCAUCGGCUAACUCCGUGCCAGCAGCCGCGGUAAUACGGAGGAUGCGAGCGUUAUCCGGAUUUAUUGGGUUUAAAGGGUGCGUAGGCGGAAUGCCAAGUCAGCGGUAAAAUCGCGGGGCUCAACCUCGCUCCGCCGUUGAAACUGGCGUGCUUGAGUGGGCGAGAAGUAUGCGGAAUGCGUGGUGUAGCGGUGAAAUGCAUAGAGAUCACGCAGAACUCCGAUUGCGAAGGCAGCAUACCGGCGCCCAACUGACGCUGAAGCACGAAAGCGUGGGUAUCGAACAGGAUUAGAUACCCUGGUAGUC